AUUGAACGCUUUCCUCCUGCCUUCCCCCUGCACGUCGACCGGUAACGGGCCUUCGGGUGCCGACGAGUGGCGAACGGGUGAGUAAUACAUCGGAACGUGCCCGAUCGUGGGGGAUAACGAGGCGAAAGCUUUGCUAAUACCGCAUACGAUCUACGGAUGAAAGCAGGGGACCGCAAGGCCUUGCGCGGACGGAGCGGCCGAUGGCAGAUUAGGUAGGUGGUGGGAUAAAAGCUUACCAAGCCGACGAUCUGUAGCUGGUCUGAGAGGAUGAUCAGCCACACUGGGACUGAGACACGGCCCAGACUCCUAUGGGAGGCAGCAGUGGGGAAUUUUGGACAAUGGGCGCAAGCCUGAUCCAGCCAUGCCGCGUGCAGGAUGAAGGCCUUCGGGUUGUAAACUGCUUUGGUACGGAACGAAAAGCCUUCUUUUAAUACAGGAGGGUCAUGACGGUACCGUAAGAAUAAGCACCGGCUAACUACGUG
rnacentral:rRNA from 1 species